UACGUAGGGGGCAAGCGUUGUCCGGAAUCAUUGGGCGUAAAGCGCGUGUAGGCGGCCUUGUAAGUCCGUUCUGAAAGCCCGGGGCUCAACCCCGGGAGGCGGAUGGAUACUGCAAGGCUCGAGUACGGAAGAGGCGAGUGGAAUUCCUGGUGUAACGGUGAAAUGUGUUGAUAUCAGGAGGAACACCCAUGGCGAAGGUAGCAGACUGGGCGUUUCCUGACGCUGAGGCGCGAAAGCGUGGGUAGCAAACAGG
rnacentral:rRNA from 1 species